CAAUAGCGUAUAUUAAAGUUGUUGCAGUUAAAAAGCUCGUAGUUGGAUUUCUGGAUGGAGCGACCGGUCGGGCAUUAAUUUGUCUGCACUGGAGUCGGUUCCGUCCAUCCUCUUGGAAAGUGCGUGGGGCAUUAAGUUGUCUGGCGUAUGAUCCAAGUCGUUUACUGUGAAAAAAUUAGAGUGUUUAAAGCAGGCCUUCGCCUUGAAUACAUUAGCAUGGAAUAAUAAGAUAGGACUUUGGUCUAUUUUGUUGGUUUGCAGACCGAAGUAAUGAUUAAUAGGGAUAGUUGGGGGUAUUUAUAUUCCGAUGUCAGAGGUGAAAUUCUUAGAUUUUCGGAAGAUAAACCUAUGCGAAAGCAUUUACCAAGGAUGUUUUCAUUAA
rnacentral:rRNA from 1 species